GCACGGGAGUUCUUGUCUGUGUGCAAUCCACUUUGUGGGCGUGUGGGUUUAGGUCUGGCUGGGCCGUUUCUGAACUUGACCCCUGAGGACUCAUAGUACCUUAGGGGCGGGGCUCUCCAGUGGGUGGGGCCUCCCGCUCUGAGAGCAAGGCCUCGGGGUCUGGAGGACCCGGCUUUUCCGGGAGGGCGCGGCCUCCGGGGGAGAGGGCGAGCCGAGCGGGCUGUCAGCCGAAGAGCUUCAGGAAGCAGGGCUGGCAGUAGGGCUUGCCGGCGCGCUCCUGGAAGGACCCCUUGGUGAGCGGGCGCAGGCAGAAGGUGCAUGUGAAGUGGUCCGGGUGGAAGCGGCGACCCAGGGCCGACACGCAGCGGCCGGUCACAGGGAGGCCACACGUGGCGCACAGCGAGCCGCGUCGUGCGUGGAAGUGGUUCUCGCACAACGGGCGGCCCUCGUGCUCGAAAAAGCUGCCUCCCGAGAAGGGCGCGAAGCAUUCCUGGGGAAGGGAAGCCGCGAAAGAGGACAGACAGGUCAGCGGCCACUGCCAGACAACGCGCGUUACUAGCGGAUAACGCCCUGGGACCCCGCAGCCCGCCCUAGACGCGAAGAAUCCCGUCCGGUGGGACCCUGCCCGGAAAACUCGCCCCACCCGAGGUUCCUAGCAGCACCUCCCGUGACCCGCCCCCCCGAGGGCCCGCCCCCUGCCCUGCACCCUUGACCCGCCCCUCCAAGGCCCCGCCCCACAGCCCUGUACCCUUGACCCGCCCCUCCAACGCCCCGCCCCGCAGCUCGCACCCUGCAGACGAAACAGUCCGGGUGCCAGAGCGCGCUGAGCGCCGAGAUGUAGUUAUCCAGGAUGGGGCCCUGGCAGCCCUGGCAGCGCGGGGCGAACAGCUGCAGGAAGUCCCGGCGGCAGUAGGGGCGGCCCUCGCGCUCGUGGAAACCUAGGAGAGGGAACCGAGUGGGCUGAAAGCAAAGGGUGCGGGCGGGACGGGGGACCCACAAGACCUGAGAUCUGGGGCCGAAGGAGGGGCAGUCCGAGGGAGCCUUGGGGAAGGAGGAGCCGGGUCUAUGGCGGGACAGAGCGGGGAGGGCUCGGGUCCGGAGUCUGUGUAGGAGAGGGCAGGGCCAGAAGAGAGCAGAAGGAAAACCAUGGCCCUGAGGACUCCGGAGGUCGGAGGGGCUGGGGCGAGACGUCGAGGGGACCCGCAGCUUUUAAGAUGGGAGUCGAGUUCACUCUCACCCUCAUCUCCGAAGGGCUCCCCGCAACUGACGCAGCAGAAAUGCUCUGGGUGCCAGUGAGUGCCCAAGGCGGUCACCAUCUUCUGCAGGGAGGGAGAGGGCACUCAGCGCGGCCUCCGUGCCUUCGCGCCUUCCUCUCCCGCGCGGAACCCGGGUGACUGGACUAAGGCAUGCGUGGGGGGAGGGGGAGAAGAUCUAACUAGGAACGUGGGGGUCAGAAAGGAAGAGUGGAGUCCAAGGGGCCGUGGACAUUGCCAAGGGGAAGGGGUAGGGGUGGAGUGGGGUAUCGCGGGUGGGGCGGGACCCAUGCGGUGGAGGCCCGUCCCACAGCUCUCCUGGUGAGAUAGGGCGGGCUCGGUGCGGCCGGGCGGGGCUCACGUGUCGGAUGGGCUGGUUGCAGAAGCCACAUCUUGGCGAGAAGCGCUCAAAGUAGCACUCGGGGCAGAAGGGGGCUCCAUCCUUCUCGAAGAAGCUGCUGCCUCCCAGGGCGGUGGAACAGCCUCCGCAAACGAAGUGCUCGGGGUGCCAGGCGCGGCCCAGAGCCGUCACCACCUGCGAGUGGGAGGUGAGGCGGGUCAGAGCGGCUCUGACAACCACAUGCCCAGUGAGGCAAGAUUUACGCGGCGUUUUUCGAGUCCUCUCUGAGCGAUCAGAAUAAAGAAUCCAGUGUUCGAGAUCACGCAGCCUGUAAGCGAUGGAGAUCUAGCUCCCGUGUUCCGUCUUCCAGCUGCGCUCCAGGAUUGACCUAUACAUGAGGCACAGCAGGCACAGCGCCUGGAGCCCACAAUACAUUUAGGGGCCCAUAAAAACGUUUUAAUUUUUUUAAAAUCAAAAUACGAUCAGGCUGGGUGGCUCGUGCCUCUAAUCCUAGCAUUUGGGAGGCUGAGGUGGGAGGAUUACUUGAGUCCAGGAGUUUGAGACCAGCCUGGGCAACAUGGCGAAGCCCCAUCUCUACAAUAAAUAAAUAAAAUUAGCUGGGCGAGGUGGCGGGCGCCUUUAGUCCCAGCUACUCGGGAGGCUGAGCUGGGAGGAUCACUUGAGCCCAGAAGGUCGAGGCUGCAGUGAGCCACAAUCGCACCACUGCACUCCAGCUUGGGUCACAAGAGUGAGAAUUUGCCUCAAAAUAAAUAAGAGGGAGGAAGUGAAAAAUCCGUUUUUAAAAAUUCAGAAUAAAAAAAUGAACUAGAAGAAAAUGCUGUAAUACACAAUAAUAACAUACCCAUCUUUACACCAACACAGACAUAAAAAUCUAUUUAUUUUAAUGGACGAAGGGACUCAUGAAGAUGAAAGUGCCUAUGAUCCACAAAAGUCACAAUGCCACCCUCCUUUGCUGAGAUGGGCAAUUCUGGGCUGGGAGUCAGGUACUUGAUCUAGCAGGGGGCACUAGGUUAACCCCUAGGCACAGCUGUUGUCAAUCACAUCUGCUCAGUCAAUAAAACAAGGACCAGUGAACCCAGUCCAGACUCUGACGGAGGAAGAGAGAGCCUUUGUAGAUGCCUGAGAGAUAUUGGGUGGAGCCACAGAGUGUUUUGUGAAGAUCAGAUGAGAUGAGGGUUUGUAAAGGAGCUGGCACAGUGCCUGGCACACAGUAGGACCACAAUAAAUGGUAACAUGGUUGGAAUUUUCACCCUACCACUAACCUGCUGUGUGGUUCAGAGCUUCAGUUUCCUCAUCCAUAAAACAUAAGUAAUAAUGAUACCCACUUCCCAGAUUAACUUACUAAAAGGGAACAGCAUAAAGCCCAGCUCUCACUAAAGAUGGGUCUGUGACAGGUCUCUGCCUCCCUUCUCACAAGGCUCCACUUACUUGCCCAGCAAUAGGUUUAUUGCAGGAGCCACAGAGGCCUUUGGCCUGGGUGGGAACACCCCGGCGGCUGAGGUCGGACUGCAGCAGCCCCAGCAUGGUGUCUAGGCUGCCCUUGCCAGUCGGCUCUGGUGGGGAUGGGGAGCCCUCAUUUGUGGAGCUCACCACCGGUGGCUGAGUUGGCCCAGAGGCUGGAAGCUGCAGCGGGGAGGACAUGAGAAUUGAGUCAGCAAAGCAGCAGAUGUGGAAUUGUCUAGAAGGGGUUGGGGAGCCACAAAUGGACACUGGCCCACUGCCCAACUCACAUGGUUUUGAACGCGGAAGUCAGAGAGUGAGGCCAUCAGUCUAUCCAGCUCCAGAGUGGCUGAGGUGGCAGAAGCCUUUGGGAGGCCAGGAGACGGGCUGGAAGGGCUGUGAAGAACAUGCUUGUGUCAUCUCAGAGCCUCCCAGAGCAACGCUCCCUCUAGUGACUCAGAUAUCCAGGACUCAUCUCUCAGCCCUGACAACGACGCCAAACUCACAGGCUGGGUCUUUUCUUAUCUUCAGACUGGUCCUCCUUCUGCUCUCCUGAAGCCACCUUGCUAGAUGGGAACUGAGACAUGAUUUCAUCUGGAGAGAGGAGAGGAGGACGCUACAUAUAGGGCCAUGCUCAACGCACCCUCACACUUGAGGCUUUAGGUCCCUUUAACUGCUACUCUGGGAAGUGUAUUCCUCUUAGUCUCUGCCCCACCCUUCCCUCCCCUGCCCCUAUCGCAUCAAGGCCUCUCUCAGUCACCCUGGUACCUGUGAUGUUGAACUGAGUGGCAUUAAGUUCCUGAAGCAACCGAUCUAGCUCACAGAGCCCGGUACCCAAGACACCGCUGGAAGAGGAGAAUGGAGGGGCCGCCGGGGCUGCAGGCUUUGGGGACCGAGGCUUGCAUACCGUGCUGGGAAGCAGAGUGGGAGCCUGGGUUCAGGGGUGGGGAAUCCAAGCCUCCUCACCUGAGACUCAGUUGGCCCCCAUGCCCUGGUUUCCAGGCCCCUCACCUGUACAGGUGGUCCUUGUCCCCCGAGGCUCCUGAAGACUCCCCAGACCCUGUCUACAGAGCGGAGACGCACAGGUGGGAUGACAGGCCUGCACUCUGCCCCACUGAGGCUGAGAUCCCCAUAGACCAGGCCGAGCCUGGCCCUAGUGGCUGCCCCAGUCCCCAACAUCCGAUCUCACCUGUGGCUGGUGGCCAUAGGAUGGGGGAGGGGUGAGAGGCUCCGCAGGGCGCUCUUUGGGAGCCCCUGACCUUGGCAUGUGCGAGGUGGUAGUCUCCAGGUCAGAGAGCAGGGCAUCUGCAGGAAGAGGCCAUCAGGGAGAGAGACAAGGGUCACGGUUAGAUCAGAAGAUAAGGUUCCCAGUGGGCAGUACUGGAGAAGGACAGAAGCCAGUAUUAAGAGAAGAGGUCACAGGGCCAGAGCCAGGCAGAGCACUGCUCGAAGGGUAGCAAGGAAUAUUUAUGACCAGAAUAUCCCAGUUGCUCACGCUUGGAGCCAAGCACAAACCCAGCCUCCUGAUUAUUUUAUUCUCCCCAUCUUCUCUGAUGCAGUCAAAAUGGGCUCUUCACCCAAGCCAAAUUUGGCUCCCCUCCAAAUUGCUCCAUUGGCCCAGUGCCUGGCCCUCAGCUUUCUGAUUGGACGCUCUCUCUUCCAUGCUGGUUAACUCCUCCCUCUACCUACACAGGCCCCGCCCAGCCUGGCCACUCCCAGGCCCCUGAGUCCCGCCCUGGGCUCCUCACUGGCGCUUCGCUGGGACCUGCCUUCUGAUUGGCUGUUUAUCUGCGGUACAGCGUCAGUUACCCCUACCGAGCAGCGCCCUCUACCGCCAGGGGCCGGAAGCCCCUCUCUCCCGUGGAGCGCACAGCCUUCCAGCCCCAGGCUUCGCAGGGAGGACGAGAUACCUGGGUCCCCCUUCCGGACAAGACACCUCUCUCCAUCCCUGCAUCCCCAGAUCCGGGUCUUUUGAGCCCUUUCACUUCCAGAACCCAGAAGUCCUGCCCUCAGUCUUCGUCUCUGAGCACCCGCGUGAAACCCUGAAGCCUUCGCGGGCGCCUAGGCACUCCUGAGUUACUAUUCUCUUCCUUGCCUCAAGGACCUGACCCUCACUGUGCUCAGGAGCCCUUAACUCCUCCUCUCCCAAAACUCUGGUGCAGGCAGGCCCGCUUUUUUUCUCCAAAACUUGAUGCCAGACUUUCCCGUGCCCUCUACUUUCCCGGUCCCCGGGCCGAGGCCCCUUUAACCCCUCCCUCCCCAGAGCCCCGCGCCCGGGCGCCCGCGGGCGCCGCACCUCCCGUUCCAUCUGCCGCAGCCUGGGAUGGAGGAGCACAGCGAGGGAAGAAGGGAGGGAGCGGCCGGCCCAGGAAAGGCAGGAAGGGAGAGGCAGGAAGGGGGACGUGGAGUUGGAAAGGAGGCGCGGGCAGAGGCGAAAAGCAGAAGUAAGAAGACAGGGAUGGGGAGAUGCGGGAGAGCGACGGCGGGGAGGCAGCUCUGGG
rnacentral:lncRNA from 1 species